rnacentral:rRNA from 1 species
GAGAGAGACAUGCGCGCAUAUCAAUAAGCGGAGGAAAAGAAACUAACAAGGAUUCCCUAGUAACGGCGAGUGAAGCGGGAAGAGCUCAAAUUUGAAAUCUUAAAGGUUUUACCUUGACGAAUUGUAGUUUAAAGAAGUGUUUUCUGUUGAGGUUUUGGUAAAAGUUCUUUGGAAUAGGACAUCAUAGAGGGUGAGAAUCCCGUAUUUGACCUUUACUUUCAACUUUGUGAUACACUUUCAAAGAGUCGGAUUGUUUGGGAAUGCAGUCCAAAAUGGGUGGUAAAUUUCAUCUAAAGCUAAAUAUUGGCGAGAGACCGAUAGCGAACAAGUACCGUGAGGGAAAGAUGAAAAGAACUUUGAAAAGAGAGUUAAACAGUACGUGAAAUUGUCAAAAGGGAAGCGUUUGACACCAGUGUUGUUUUUCUGAAAAUCAAUUAAAGAACUGUUUAUGCUAAGUUGUUUAGACUUUAUCAGCUAACUGUUUAGUUUUGAGCUUUUCUUUAAUGCACUUUUCAGUUAACAAGUCAACAUCAAUUUCUUUUGCUGUAAAAAAGCUUGAGGAAGGUGGCUUGAGAUUCGUCUUAAGUGUUUAUAGCCUCUUGCCUAUGCAGUCGGAGAGAUUGAGGUCUGCAGCGUAGAUCCUUCGGGGCUAAAUGCAUUUGUGCUAAGUUAUAGCAUUUUAUAGACAACUUGUUGACUAUGAUUUGUCUUGUAGCUUACUCGCUUAUGUUAUUUUACCUACGCUUAGGAUGUUGAGCGCAUGUCUCUCUCU